UGUCCAGGUUGGUGUAUUUCCCAGCAUCCUCCAGGAGCGGCCUGUCCAGGCUGCAGUCUGCAGAGUUCAGCUCCUCAGAGAAAACUCAGACGGGUCUGCAGGUAAAUCUGAACAUAUCAUCUCAUCAACAUACACACUGUUAUUAUGAAAAAAACCUGUUUGUUUGUUUGUUUGUUUGUUUGUUUGUUUGUUUGUUUGUUUGUUUGUUUGUUUGUUUGUU